rnacentral:rRNA from 1 species
AACGAACGCUGGCGGCGUGGAUAAGACAUGCAAGUCGAACGGGAUUACUGGUGUAGCAAUACAUUAGUAAUCUAGUGGCGUAAGGGUGCGUAACACGUGGGGAAUCUGCCGAGAAGUGGGGGAGUAGCUCGCCGAAAGGACGGAAUUAAUACCGCAUGUGAUCAGUGAAGACAUCUUCACGACAUCAAAGCCGGGGCGAACCU